AUUGAACGCUGGCGGCAGGCUUAACACAUGCAAGUCGAGCGGAGAUGAGGUGCUUGCACCUUAUCUUAGCGGCGGACGGGUGAGUAAUGCUUAGGAAUCUGCCUAUUAGUGGGGGGACAACAUUCCGAAAGGAAUGCUAAUACCGCAUACGCCCUACGGGGGAAAGCAGGGGAUCUUCGGACCUUGCGCUACUAGAUGAGCCUACGUCGGAUUAGCUAGUUGGUGGGGUAAAGGCCUACCAAGGCGACGAUCUGUAGCGGGUCUGAGAGGAUGAUACGCCACACUGGGACUGGGACACGGCCCAGACUCCUACGGGAGGCAGCAGUGGGGAAUAUUGGACAAUGGGCGGAAGCCUGAUCCAGCCAUGCCGCGUGUGUGAAGAAGGCCUUUUGGUUGUAAAGCACUUUAAGCGAGGAGGAGGCUACCUGGAUUAAUACUCUAGGAUAGUGGACGUUACUCGCAGAAUAAGCACCGGCUAACUCUGUGCCAGCCGCCGCAGUAAAAC
rnacentral:rRNA from 1 species